AGAUGUUUCCAGAUGUGUGGCUGAGAGGAAGUACACCCAGGAACAAGCUCGCAAAGAAUUUCAACAAGUGUUUAUCCCAGAAUGUAAUGACGAUGGCACAUAUAGUCAGGUUCAGUGCCAUAGUUACACUGGAUACUGCUGGUGUGUCACUCCCAAUGGUCGUCCGAUCAGUGGUACUGCUGUGGCCCACAAAACUCCCCGAUGCCCAGGUUCAGUGAGUGAGAAGCUGCCACAGCGAGAAGGUGCAGGAAAAGCAGAUGAUGCCUCAGCUCCCGCGCUGGAGACUCAGCCUCAAGGUGAUGAAGAAGAUAUAGCUUCUCGUUAUCCUACCUUAUGGACUGAGCAAGUAAAGAGUAGACAAAACAAAACCAAUAAAAGCUCAG